rnacentral:rRNA from 1 species
UACGUAGGGUGCGAGCGUUAAUCGGAAUUACUGGGCGUAAAGCGUGCGCAGGCGGCUUUGCAAGACAGAUGUGAAAUCCCCGGGCUUAACCUGGGAACUGCAUUUGUGACUGCAUGGCUGGAGUGCGGCAGAGGGGGAUGGAAUUCCGCGUGUAGCAGUGAAAUGCGUAGAUAUGCGGAGGAACACCGAUGACGAAGGCAAUCCCCUGGGCCUGCACUGACGCUCAUGCACGAAAGCGUGGGGAGCAAACAGG